CUGCCGGAGGCUACCGCUAUUGGAGUUCGAUUAAGCCAUGCGAGUCGCGAGUCUUAGGGACUCGGCGUACCGCUCAGUAACACGUGGGUAACCUGCCCUAUGCUGGGGGAUAACCUCGGGAAACUGAGAAUAAUACCCCAUAGUUCACCACGCCUGGAACGGUUGGUGGACCAAAGCUCCGGCGGCAUAGGAUGGGCCUGCGGCGUAUCAGGUUGUAGGGGGUGUAAUGUACCCUCUAGCCCUCUACGCGUACGGGUGUUGAGAGACAUCGCCCGGAGAUGGAUUCUGAGACACGAAUCCAGACCCUACGGGGUGCAGCAGGCGCGAAAACUUGGCAAUGCGAGAAAUCGUGACCAGGGAACUCCAAGUGCAUCGGGUAAGACCGAUGCUUUUCUUGACUCUUCAAAGGUCUUGGAAUAAGGGGUGGGUAAGGACGGUGCCAGCCGCCGCGGUAAUACCGGCGCCCCAAGUGGUAGUCGCUUUUAUUGGGCCUAAAACGUCCGUAGCCGGUCUGGUACAUUCGUGGGUAAAUCAACCAGCUCAACUGGUUGAAUUCUGCGAGCACGGCCAGACUUGGGACCGGGAGAGGUGUGGGGUACUCUCAGGGUAGGGGUAAAAUCCUGUCAUCCUGAGAGGACCACCUGUUGCGAAGGCGCCACACUAGAACGGAUCCGACGGUCAGGGACGAAGCCUAGGGGCACGAACCGGAUUAGAUACCCGGGUAGUCCUAGGUGUAAACGCUGUGGACUUGAUGUUGGGGGCGCUCCGAGCGCACUCAGUGUCGAAGCGAAGGUGAUAAGUCCACUGCCUGGGGAGUACGGUCGCAAGGCUGAAACUUAAAGGAAUUGGCGGGGGAGCACCGCAACCUGAGGAUUGUGCGGUUUAAUUGGAUCAACGCCGGG
rnacentral:rRNA from 1 species